GGUCCUUGGAGGCUCUAGCAUCAGGCUCAUCCAUGUCUGGCCUUCAAGAUGCUAGAGAUGCAAGAAAUGCCAGAAAAAACUGAUUGUCCUGAUGACACACAGUACACUGUCACUCAUACAACAGGGCUCAAGAGGGUAUCUUGGACAGCUGAAAACAUAUUACGGGGUCUUGGAUGUUUUGCAACCUGUUCACUAUCCACUGUAUACAACAGAGGUAGCAGUGUCUGGUGGUUUCAGGGAGCGGGUCUCACUACCUUGCUGCUCUGUUUCAACUUCUUCUGCACCUCCUCAGCUGGCAGGUCAACAUAGAUGGCGAGGUGUGGAGGCAGGAACUCACAGAUGCUAAUGUCUUUGAUCUCAUUGUAGUGCUGCACACCUGCAAGCCACAGGACAUUUCUUUAAGAACUGUGUAAUGUGUGGACCACACUUUGGGUUUUUGCAAUACACAUCAUGCAUUUAUUUUUAUUAUUAACUAAAUGAGAUGGAAACAGAACUGAAUUGGGAAAUGCUU